rnacentral:tRNA from 1 species
AGAAAGAUGCCUGAAUAAAGGUGUAUUAUGAUAGAAUACCUAAUGUAGAAACCCCUACUCUUUCUA